rnacentral:tRNA from 1 species
GCCUGGAUGGUUCAGUUGGUUGAGCGUCUGACUUCAACUCAGGUCAUGAUCUCAUGGUGGGUGAGUUCAAGCCCCACAUCGGGGCU